GAGUUUGAUCAUGGCUCAGGACGAACGCUGGCGGCGUGCCUAACACAUGCAAGUCGAGCGAUGAAACCCUUCGGGGUGGAUUAGCGGCGGACGGGUGAGUAACACGUGGGUAACCUGCCUCAAAGAGGGGGAUAGCCUCCCGAAAGGGAGAUUAAUACCGCAUAACAUUAUUUCUUCGCAUGAAGAGAUAAUCAAAGGAGUAAUCCGCUUUGAGAUGGACCCGCGGCGCAUUAGCUAGUUGGUGAGGUAAUGGCUCACCAAGGCAACGAUGCGUAGCCGACCUGAGAGGGUGAUCGGCCACAUUGGAACUGAGAUACGGUCCAGACUCCUACGGGAGGCAGCAGUGGGGAAUAUUGCGCAAUGGGGGAAACCCUGACGCAGCAACGCCGCGUGGGUGAAGAAGGCCUUCGGGUUGUAAAGCUCUGUCUUCUGGGAGGAUAAUGACGGUACCAGAGGAGGAAGCCACGGCUAACUACGUGCCAGCAGCCGCGGU
rnacentral:rRNA from 1 species